UUAACUGGAAGGCAUCCUAAAGUGCGCCGCGUCCUGCGGCAACGGAUGCAUGACCUACAUCCUGUAGG
rnacentral:sRNA from 1 species